UUAGUCAGCCUAGAAAAAUGAAAACUACAGUGAGAAGCUCUCAAGUUUUUUAAAUUGAUAAUAUGAGCAAAAUCUCAAGAGUCUUUCCCAUAGAAGAAAGAAAGAAAGAAUUAUUUUGAAUGAAUAAGAGACACUGAUCCGUAGAGAGGGGCUCUCCUCCCUCGCUUUAUCUAAAACCAGCAACAUUAACUAGUGGUUUUGAGAGGUGGUCUUCGCCUCUUUUUAGGCCAAAAUUACCUUUCUCGUUUCGGUUUCACCAUUUUUAACUUUUGUUUUUUGUAGUUAAUAAGUCUCUAUCAAUAAGUUUUUCGGGCUCCCUCUUAGUGGAGAAGAUCCGCUGCUCCCAUGGUGGAGCUUUUAUGGUUGAUUUUCAUCAAAGAAGCACUAUGGCGUUGCAAAUCAAGUUCCAUCUCUAUAAGCUUAACAAAAGAUCAAGGGUUGAGCUAUAGGGUGAUGGCUUUGUAGCAAUGGCAGUGGCGGUGUCUACAUUUCUCCUUUCUUAUUAGGGUUUGUGGAGUAUUUUGGGUUUUUUUUGGCUUAUAUUUAUUUAUCUUGAUCUGUUUUUGUAA